CUCAUCUUCACUAGUCUCACCAAGAAUAGCUAGUGACUGCAUGCCAACCCCUGAUUCUAUGAGAAUAAGCUUCCCCUAUGGCUGAAUAUAACAGAGGAGGCCGAGAAGAAGGAAGUGAUUCCAGAAAGGAGCAUAUACACUGGGAACGGGAACUCUCACAGGAGAUUCUCUCCCUUGUUGAUUGGAAAAAGCCAGCUGCCAUGUUGUGAGUAUCCCAUUUAAAAGGGCUAUAUGGCAAGGAACCGAGGGCAGCCUUCAGCUGACAGCCAGCAAGAAACCAAGAUCCUCAGUCUGGUAGCUUGCAAGGCACUGAAUUCUGCCAACAACUGCGUGAGCUUGGAAGUGGAUCCUUCCUCAGUUAAGCCUUGGACAAGACCCAAGCCCUGUUGGACGCUUUAAUUACAGCCUUGCAGAGAACCCAGCUAAGUGAACUCAAUGUGUAUGGUUCUAGAGUCAGCAGAGCACUUUCAUCUUCAUGAUCUGAUGCCCAU
rnacentral:lncRNA from 1 species